rnacentral:rRNA from 1 species
CGAACGACUCUCGGCAACGGAUAUCUCGGCCCUCGCAUCGAUGAAGAACGUAGCGAAAUGCGAUACGUGGUGUGAAUUGCAGAAUCCCGCGAACCAUUGAGUCUUUGAACGCAAGUUGCGCCCGAGGCCUUCCGGCCGAGGGCACGCCUGCCUGGGCGUCACGC